UAAUUUCUUUUUUAUUCGAAUUCUUCCCAAAUAUACAAGGGCGAGGGCUCCGUUUUCUCAUAUCUGUUUCUACGCUCAAGAAUCGCCAUUCUCUAAUAUGUGUUUCUACACACAAGAAUCGUUCAAAAUCUGCUUUUGCUCUACGAUCUACACUACCGACACAGUGAUUAGUCUCCGAUUGAGUUGAUUUCAGCCACUGAAUGAGAUUGUGUAGGUUUUCCUUCCUAAUUUCUUGCUUAAUCGGCGCACAUGUAAGUGAAUUUCAAAGAACCGCGGGUAAAAUUAGGCCGUCUAUCACCAGAAAUUCGAGAGCAACUUGCUCUAUCGAUGAGUUCUUGUCCAACCGAUAGGAGGUGGGUAUAUAGAUUUGUUGUUCUACCGCCUCUGAUGAAUAGAAGCCACCGUCACCAACCUUCUCUGGCUCUUCGUGGUUGCCUUCCAGUCGAUGCUACGCCUUCUACUCCUCCAGAUAUCCUCUGACAUCGUCUGCUCCUCCGGAAUCCCUCUAACAUCUAUCCUUGUCAUUUGUGAGGGUGGGCAAGCAUAGUAAUAGCAACAGUUGCUAUUAGAAACUUAUUGGCUCCAAUCACAAUUAAUCAACACAAGGUUGCCUCAAAGUUAAAUGUGAGCUCUACUCAUUUGCCUGAGUAUAAUAGUAUAUUGAGUUAUACUGUUCAGAGGUUGCAUUGAUCUGUUGACAUUUUGCAUAUAGAUUUUAGGGCCAUAAUUGGAGCAGAUUCAACAAAAGAUGGAAGAUAAGGUAUGCCCAUCAUCAAACUUCUUCUGUCAUUUGUCAUCUUACAUGUUACAUAGAUGAAAAGUUCAUGUUUAUGCUGGUGCACUAUGUAUAAAGAGCCACCUUUGUCUAAAUUAUAAUAUAUUGUUUCAAAACGGAAGUUAAAGCUAUUGAAUAACAUGUUGUGAAUCAAUAUCCUUAAUUUGAUGCUACCAUAUAACUUUUGGUCAUGAAUAAUUAAUUAUUAAUGCAAAUAGAAGGCUGGGGGACUUCUUGCAUGUGCAGUGCUCUUAAUGUUUGUUUAUUGAAUUCGACAUGCUUAUCCUUUCAAGAAGAUGAAACUCUUUGGCCCUUGAUUAUUUUUAUUAUUAAAAAUUAUUAGUAACCUUUUCAGAGCAUGAGUAUACUUAAUUGACCAGGUUUUUCAUCCAAGCCCCUGUCUUUGUCAGCUUUUUCCUUGUUGUAAGUAAAACAUAUUAUAUCCCAAAUGGCAACUUCAAUCUUUUAAUAAUAUAUAAUACUACAUUUUUGGAAUGUGUUGUAAGUUUUGAGUAAGUAGUAAUGUGCAGAUUGAGAACAUGGUGGAAAAGGUUCCAUAUUUUCAAACUAGUGGGGCAUCUUGGUUCAUCGACCUUACCACUGUUGAUGCCUGCUAUAUUCUUCCUUUAUUGGCUGCCAUUUAAUGUUGGAUAACUGUCGAGUUUACCAUGCAGAAAGGUAUGCGUGGUGGUGUUUGGAAAAACAUUGCAAGGGAUGGUGCUGCUCUUACACUUCCUCUUAUAGAAUGAAACAAUUGGUUGAUAGUUGAUACUGGUCUGAAUGAAACAGAGGAAGUUUUAUCUUUAUUGAUUUCCAAAAGGUACCCAUUAAAAGGUAUUUUCUGAUACGGUAAAAUCAGUUAUCAUUUAUAACACAAUAUGUAUUUUUAUACAAACAAAUUUAUGAAGAUUCCUAGAUGAGCAAUGGGUCACACGUACCCGGAGCGAACCAGCUUGAAGAACGAAAACUCAAAACCCUAAAUUCUUGAAUUACCUUGACCGUACACUAGACAUGUUCGAGUAUGCUGGUUCAUGUUCCAGUUUUGGUCUGGACCUGUUCAGAGUCCCUAACUAAGUUUUUGUUGUUGUACCGAAUUGGAUUGUUUGUUAGGAUAGAUAUUUGUUGGAUCGCUUCAUAUCAAAACUUGGGUUUUAAAAUAGAUAUCAACUAAAAGUAGUUAUUUUUCUAUA